rnacentral:rRNA from 1 species
UGGGGAAUCUUGCGCAAUGGGGGAAACCCUGACGCAGCAACGCCGCGUGGAUGAUGAAGGCCUUCGGGUCGUAAAAUCCUGUUCUGGGGGAAGAACUGUAAGAGGGCUAAUACCCCUCUUACUUGACGGUACCCCAGCAGAAAGCUCCGGCCAAUUAUGUGCCAGCAGCCGCGGUAAUACAUAAGGAGCAAGCGUUGUCCGGAAUCAUUGGGCGUAAAGAGCUCGUAGGCGGUCCUGAAAGUCAGCUGUGAAAUCACCAGGCUCAACCUGGUGCGGUCAGCUGAAACUCCAGGGCUUGAGGGUAGGAGAGGAAAGCGGAAUUCCCGGUGUGGCGGUGAAAUGCGUAGAUAUCGGGAGGAACACCAGUGGCGAAGGCGGCUUUCUGGCCUACCACCUGACGCUGAGGAGCGAAAGCCAGGGGAGCAAACGG